GAUUUUUAUAUAUAAAAGUGUGCAGACGUUUUAAUUGUCCAUAAUGGCCGAUAGAUGGCACGUUGUAGAUUUCAUAAUUCAUAAUUUUAAAAACAAAUUUAUCCAUCUACAACAAAAUAAUCUGGCUUGGUUGUCCAUGGAUUAUCUAAGAAAAAAAACUUGAUCAAUCCAAACCUGGCCAUUGGCGAUCACAAUCAUCCACCUUGGUAACAAAACAAAAAAAAAAUGUUAACGUGAUCAACAACAAAAGAAAAACAAAAA